AUUGAACGCUGGCGGCAGGCCUAACACAUGCAAGUCGAACGGUAACAGGAAACAGCUUGCUGUUUCGCUGACGAGUGGCGGACGGGUGAGUAAUGUCUGGGAAACUGCCUGAUUGAGGGGGAUAACUACUGGAAACGGUAGCUAAUACCGCAUAACGUCGCAAGACCAAAGAGGGGGACCUUCGGGCCUCUUGCCAUCGGAUGUGCCCAGAUGGGAUUAGCUAGUAGGUGGGGUAACGGCUCACCUAGGCGACGAUCCCUAGCUGGUCUGAGAGGAUGACCAGCCACACUGGAACUGAGACACGGUCCAGACUCCUACGGGAGGCAGCAGUGGGGAAUAUUGCACAAUGGGCGCAAGCCUGAUGCAGCCAUGCCGCGUGUAUGAAGAAGGCCUUCGGGUUGUAAAGUACUUUCAGCGGGGAGGAAGGGAGUAAAGUUAAUACCUUUACUCAUUGACGUUACCCGCAGAAGAAGCACCGGCUAACUCCGUG
rnacentral:rRNA from 1 species